rnacentral:rRNA from 1 species
GAUGAACGCUGGCGGCGUGCCUAAUACAUGCAAGUCGAGCGAAUGGAUUAAGAGCUUGCUCUUAUGAAGUUAGCGGCGGACGGGUGAGUAACACGUGGGUAACCUGCCCAUAAGACUGGGAUAACUCCGGGAAACCGGGGCUAAUACCGGAUAACAUUUUGAACCGCAUGGUUCGAAAUUGAAAGGCGGCUUCGGCUGUCACUUAUGGAUGGACCCGCGUCGCAUUAGCUAGUCGGUGAGGUAACGGCUCACCAAGGCAACGAUGCGUAGCCCCGCUGGGAGGGGGAUCGGCCACACUGGGACUGAGACACGGCCCAGACUCCUACGGGAGGCAGCAGUAGGGAAUCUUCCGCAAUGGACGAAAGUCUGACGGAGCAACGCCGCGUGAGUGAUGAAGGCUUUCGGGUCGUAAAACUCUGUUGUUAGGGAAGAACAAGUGCUAGUUGAAUAAGCUGGCACCUUGACGGUACCUAACCAAAAAGCCACGGCUAACUACGUGCCAGCAGCCGCCGUAA